UGUGUCUUGAAUUAAAAAUAACUAAUAAAUGGUUUCAUCUUCAUCCUAUACCUAAAAAGAAUUAGCCCAACAUAAUGUUGGAAUUAAACAAAAAAAAGGAUAAAAGGAAUCACCAAAAAUUGACAAAACGUGGUUAAUUUUCCAAUUUCAUGUUGUGUCGUCUUAUUCCAUUUUUUUCCUUUAUUCAGCAGGCUUCUGCGUGUGUUUGGAUUUAUGUUUUGGGAAAUUCUGCUUCUACAGCACACGAGCUUACAUCCCCUCACACGAGGAUUGUACCUCUUGCUGUACAGUCCGUUAUGUUUUUUCUCCGCUAGCAGCCGCCCUCCAAUGUGUGUUUGAGCAAUUCUGCCUUUGUUGCCGUGUGCAUAAAUAAUUAAUUCCACACAAGCAGCCCUUUUUUGUCGUUCCCAACCAGCCGGCAAUGUGUGUUCCUUGUUUGUCUCUAUCUCUUUUCUCUGUAUGACGUGUGUAUAUACCCAAAAAUGAUCUCCUAAGCAUUGGUGCUUAUUUUAUAUUAAGUAUCGGUAACAUGGCACGCCACAACAUAAAAAUUUAGUAAUAUGGCCUAAAUAGGUGCACAACUUACACCAAUCAUUUACAAAUUUACAUUUUACAUAAUACAUUUUGAAUAAUGACUAAAUAAACAUCAUUUGUUGAGAAAUUU
rnacentral:lncRNA from 1 species